GACGAACGCUGGCGGCGUGCUUAACACAUGCAAGUCGAACGGAAAGGCCCUGCUUUUGUGGGGUGCUCGAGUGGCGAACGGGUGAGUAACACGUGAGUAACCUGCCCUUGACUUUGGGAUAACUUCAGGAAACUGGGGCUAAUACCGGAUAGGAGCUCCUGCUGCAUGGUGGGGGUUGGAAAGUUUCGGCGGUUGGGGAUGGACUCGCGGCUUAUCAGCUUGUUGGUGGGGUAGGGGCUUACCAAGGCUUUGACGGGUAGCCGGCCUGAGAGGGUGACCGGCCACCUUGGGACUGCGGUACGGCGCAGACUCCUACGGUAGGCAGCAGUGGGGAAUAUUGCACAGUGGGCGGGCGCCUGAUGCAGCAGCGCCGCGUGCGUGAUGCCGGCCUUCGGGUUGUAAACCGCUUUCGCCUGUGACGAAGCGUGAGUGACGGUAAUGGGUAAAGAAGCACCGGCUAACUACGUG
rnacentral:rRNA from 1 species